CCUGGGUACAUUCAAAAUAGCUGUGCAAGACACCACACGUAUCGUUUACGGCGUUGUUGCUGUUUUUAGUACAGUCUGGCUUUAUUGACAAUUCAUUUAUUCAGUAGCCUAGGUGAGAGUAUAAGCUUUCUAACGAUGUAUAACAUGUCUAAUUUUGCUUUUGGAAUAGCGUUUUAUAGGUUAGCGUAACCGAACAUUUUCUUACCAUGGCAUUCGCUCUAUAUGGUAGCAUUAAAAGACGUUGCACCUAAUGAAACGUUGUCAACGAUUUUUCGUAAUUCCUUGGAAAAUACCAUUAUUAUUGAGGAAUUCUGGGCAUAGCUAAGCCAUAUGUUUGCUGAUAGACCUAUCUGACAUCGUUUUCUGGAGCAAAACAGAAGCGGAUAUAACUGUCAUUGAUUUACUGUCUCUGUCUCCAUCUACUGAACAUAGAUAAGAUUUAAUCAUUGCUAUGUAAGUAUUACUGCUCAAAAUAUUUCGGUUAUUACGUUAUUUUAGAAAUUGAGUGUCUUUAAAUAGGUUAGUGGUAUUAUGUAAUGUGGAUAUUUCACACUGUAAUGUAAGCAUUAGUUAGUAGUGUAAUGGUUUUUGUGACGCAUACAACAGUGAUGAGGAGAGUGUUGAAACAUUGCCAAAACGUGGUGGACGGCUGAAAAAUGUUUUUAUAUCGUCCCAUUCCCAUACAAGAAAACAUAGGAGUGUACAGAGUAUAGAAAUAGGCUACAUACAAGAGUUAAUUAUUACACAUUUAGGUACUGUGCAGCAUUGUGUGACUAUAUGUUUGCAUUAUGUUUAAAUUAUAUCUAUGUUUCAUCUUAAACCUUCAUAAGGGGCUCAUAUGCUUUACAA